GCCAUCUUAGCUCAGUCGGUAGAGCGCGUGACUUGUAAUCUCGAGGUCUUCGGUUCGAUUCCGGAAGAUGGCU
rnacentral:tRNA from 1 species